CACUAGAAAGCUAAAAACCGGAUGAGCAUUGGCCUUUUAAGCCAAACCUUGGUGAUUAACGACCACCUCUAGUGA
rnacentral:tRNA from 1 species